GAUGAAGAACGUAGCGAAAUGCGAUAAGUAAUGUGAAUUGCAGAAUUCAGUGAAUCAUCGAAUCUUUGAACGCACAUUGCGCCCGUCAGUAUUCUGGCGGGCAUGCCUGUUCGAGCGUCAUUACGCCCCUCAAGUCCCCUGUGGACUUGGUGUUGGGGAUCGGCGAGGCUGGUUUUCCAGCACAGCCGUCCCUUAAAUUAAUUGGCGGUCUCGCCGUGGCCCUCCUCUGCGCAGUAGUAAAACACUCGCAACAGGAGCCCGGCGCGGUCCACUGCCGUAUAACCCCCCAACUUUUUAUAGUUGACCUCGAGUCAGGUAGGACUACCCGCUGAACUUAAGCAUAUCAAUAAGCGGAGGA
rnacentral:misc_RNA from 1 species